rnacentral:rRNA from 1 species
UAUUAUUUUAGCGGCGGACGGGUGAGUAACGUGUGGGUAACCUGCCUUUUACUGGGGAAUAAUCACUGGAAACGGUGACUAAUACCGCAUACGGUUCUUGGAAGGCAUCUUCUAGGAAAGAAAGGAUUUAUUCGGUAAAAGAUGGGCCCGCAUCUGAUUAGCUAGUUGGUGAGAUAACAGCCCACCAAGGCGACGAUCAGUAGCCGACCUGAGAGGGUGACCGGCCACAUUGGGACUGAGACACGGCCCAAACUCCUACGGAAGGCAGCAG